GCCUGGUUAGCUCAAUUGGUAGAGCGUGUGACUCUUAGUCUCCUGGCCUGUGCGUCUCGACACACUUGCCGGAUCCUGCAAUCACAAGGCUGUGGGUUCGAGAACCCCCACAUCGGGCG